rnacentral:rRNA from 1 species
AUGCAUAGUCGAAUGGAGAUAUUCAAAAUCUGGACAUUCGUUUGCUUAACUCCAAAUCCAUUCGCGCACGAAGAUCGACUAGAAAAUAAGAAGUAUACCUUAAAUUCAAGCAUGUGUGAUAAAAUAUUUGAUUUGUUGCUGAAAAAUAAUUACUUUAGAAUUCUUGAUCAUCAUGUCAAGCCAUUAAUAAAAGGACGAAUGUAUUGUAAAUUGCAUGAUUCAUCCAAGCAUAAUUUUGAGGAUUGCAACAUGUUUGGUCAAAUAGUCAAAUUGACCAUUGAUAGAGGACAAUUGAAAUUUGUUAAGACACCAAGAGAUGACCAGUCUAUUCCGAUUGGUCCUGAUGGCAAAUGA